rnacentral:lncRNA from 1 species
CAGGUUGGGGGGCGGGGGGCAGAAGAGAGGUCGGGGAGCAGCCGCUUGGGAAGGAAACUUGGUGAAAGCACCACUCUGCCCUGACGUGUUGGCGUGCUUGUUUCUGUACAGGCCGCGGUAGAAAGCUGGGUGGUAAGGAAGGAUCAACGGAGAUGACCCCUGGUGCCCCAACCACCUGGCACGUGACUCUUGCCCCUCCAAGUUGUCAUCAUUCCGAAAUUCACCUGGUUGCUGAUCUCCGGGAAGAGAAAUAAUUUGGAACGUUUGAGUGUUUCAGCCACCACCACCUCGUUUUUCUCUCAGAGCUCUACUUGGAGCUAAGAUGGAGAAAGAGCCCUGCCAAAUCUGGGAUCGGAGAUAACUCUUGUUAACCGGGUACCUCGGGAGAAAAUAACAUUCUCACCAGAGUCAUCCAGGAAGCUCUCUACUCAAGGCUCUGCAGGUGCUCCUGACUGGCCAAGGGCAGGUUAUGUACCUGAAUCCAGGCUGCAAAGUAUGGAUGUAGACUCUAAGUAUCCUGAGAUCGGAACAUGGAAAUUCUAUACAGUUUCAAACCCACUUUGAGUUCUGCUUAUAAGCAUUUAAUGCUUGAGAUCCCCAAUGAUAUGAAGGUGAAUGUCCUGAAUAUUAAUUGUUCUGUAGGAUGAGUUUAUUUUUUAUUUUUUUUUAAAGAUUUUAUUUAUUUAUUUGACAGAGAGAGACAGCCAGCGAGAGAGGGAACACAAGCAGGGGGAGUGGGAGCAGAAGAUGCAGGCUCCCAGCGGAGCAGGGAGCCCGAUGCGGGGCUCGAUCCCAGGAACCUGGGGUUGUGCCCUGAGCCGAAGGCAGACGCUUAACGACUGAGCCACCCAGGUGCCCCGGAUGAGUUUAUUUUUAAAUACACCUAUGAAUUGCAACUAACUUCAUUUAAUGAGUUUUGACCAAUAGCACCUUUAUCCCACAGAACCUGACCACAUGAACUGA